rnacentral:sRNA from 1 species
AUGUAAAAGAUGAUUAUGUAUUUGAAUGUGAAGCUAGUACUCAGUAUCAGAAAACAAAGCUGACCAUCUUGCAGUCGCUUGGAGAUCCACUUUACUAUGGUAAAAUACAGCCAUGUAAAGCAGAUGAAGAAAGUGACAGCCAGAUGUCUCCAUCACACUCGUCCACAGAUGAUCAUUCAAACUGGUUCAUUAUUGGAUCAAAGACCGAUGCUGAGAGGUAAAAAUAUUUGCAUCUCUAUUUUGGUCAGGAUGGAUAUGAAAAAUUUUUCACCCUUAUAGGAUAGAGAAUACUAGGAGUUAAAAACUUUGAUUUUGGUUAUGCUAUUAACCAUAUUUACACGGUUUAAUAUUUAUGGGCCCCUGUUGUAAAAUUAGGGCAUUGGACAAUAAAACCUCUAAGGUCCUUUCCAACUUUAAAAUCUUAUUGAUUCUAGAAAAAUAUUUGAAAGCUUGUGAUACACCAAACUACUAAGAAUGGUUCUUUUCAUGGGAUGAGAUUUUUCGGGGACUUAAAUGCAUUUUUCCAAAGUUUAUAAUACCUAGGUUUUUUUUCAUAGAAUUAAGAAAAUAAAAGUAAUGUUUAAAGUAUA